UAUAAGCUUCUGUAUCUAACUCAGAUUAACUCAGAUUGAUCGUUUUAUUCGAAAAUUUUUAAUUAGUAUUUUUGUUGUUAUUAGAUGAUAAAAUAUAAAUAAUACUUUAUACGUGACUUAUGUAUUUUUAUUUUUUUUAAAAAAUAUUUUUAAAUAAGAUGUACGAUUAAAGUUAGACACGAAAACUUAUGGUUGCGCUUAAA
rnacentral:pre_miRNA from 1 species